rnacentral:misc_RNA from 1 species
CACUCAGUGAUUGCCAUCCUGGGUGAGCUCCUUGCUGCAUGGUUCUGCUCCUUCAUUAUUAUGGAUAGCAAAAAAAUUUACAAUUUUGUGGUUUCUUUUGAUUGAUGUGAACUAUAGGAUUUCAUUUUGAUUUGCUUUCACAAUUCUGCCACAUUGGGCUUGAAUCAGGUUUUGGUCAGUUAUCCAUGUGGUUAAAGCAAUAUUUUGAUUGUUUCAAUUCUAUUCUAUUCUUUCUACUCAAAUACUAGAAUCAGAUGACUUUU